AAGAAUGUUAUCUUUUUUCCUUAGCUUCUCUUCUGCUUUGUAUGCAGAAAUGGCCUCAGGGACCGAAUCAGAAGCAGGAGCUGAAUGGAAGAGAUGAUUACUUGUCUCGAUCAGGAGUUUUUGGAUAUGUGUUACUAUGCUUGAGUUAGUCGCAGCUGUGUAAGUGAGGCCAUGCCCUCAACUUAAACGGGUUUCAAUUUCGUUUUAUAUUAUAAGUGUGUUUUUUAUUUUCUUAAACUUUUCCCAUUUUAAGAACCAUUAUCUUAGGGACUUAGACCUUAUGUAUUUUAUGGCAUCUAUUACUUUUAGAGAAUGAAAACGUCUUAUGAAUGCUGCUAAAAAUUUAUUUUUGUUUUCUUUGUGUUGAGGUGUCUUCUGCUACUGCUUCGUUGGUUUUCUGCUCCCACACUCUGUGGUUUCGUUCUUCACUGCCCUGCUGUGGGAUCUUCAAUUUCAAAGAUUGUGGAUCCCAGCUAGCUACUACAUCACUAUGCUUCUGUUUGAUUGAAUCUCUGCGGCUAUGACACGCCUCACCUCAAAGUGUAGUGGUAAUUUAAGUAGAUAUUAAGGACGAUGAAUGGCAUCACAGUCAAAUGGCAGGUACCUAAUCUGUUACAGAGUGGUUUGAGGAACUCACAUUCUCGUUAAACAAUUGAUCGCCACUUCAGCAAGGUCGUGGUGCUGGGUAUCUGAGAGUUAUGAAAGCUU
rnacentral:lncRNA from 1 species